rnacentral:tRNA from 1 species
GAGGUUGUAGCUCAGUGGUAGAGCACUUGCCUAGCAUGUGGGGGGCACUGGGUUCGAUCCUCAGCAUCCCA